UACAGAGGGUGCAAGCGUUAAUCGGAAUUACUGGGCGUAAAGCGUGCGUAGACGGUUAUGUAAGUCAGGUGUGAAAGCCCCCGGGCUCCACCUGGGAAAUUGCAUUUGAGACUGAAUAGCUAGGGUGCGGAAGAGGGAAGCGGAAUUUCCGGUGUAGCGGUGAAAUGCGUAGAUAUCGGAAGGAACACCAGUGGCGAAAGCGGCUUCCUGGUCCAGCACCGACGUUCAGGCACGAAAGCGUGGGGAGCAAACAGG
rnacentral:rRNA from 1 species